rnacentral:tRNA from 1 species
UGUUCUGUGGCUUAGUUGGUUUAAGCACCAGUGUAGCGAAAACGGGGACGUGGGUUCGAAUCCCACCAGAACGC